rnacentral:rRNA from 1 species
AGCGGCGGACGGGUGAGUAACGCGUGGGCAACCUGCCCCAUACAGAGGGAUAGCCACUGGAAACGGUGAUUAAUACCUCAUGAGUCAGUAAGAUCGCAUGAUAUAGCUGACAAAGAUUUAUCGGUAUGGGAUGGGCCCGCGUCUGAUUAGCUAGUUGGUGAGGUAACGGCUCACCAAGGCGACGAUCAGUAGCCGACCUGAGAGGGUGAUCGGCCACACUGGAACUGAGACACGGUCCAGACUCCUACGGGAGGCAGCAGUGGGGAAUAUUGCACAAUGGGCGCAAGCCUGAUGCAGCAACGCCGCGUGAGUGAUGAAGGCCUUCGGGUUGUAAAACUCUGUCCUAUGGGAAGAAACAAAUGACGGUACCAUGGGAGGAAGCCCCGGCUAACUACGUGCCAGCAGCCGCGGUAAUACGUAGGGGGCAAGCGUUAUCCGGAAUCACUGGGCGUAAAGGGUGCGUAGGUGGCUUAUCAAGCCAGAGGUGAAAGGCAGUGGCUCAACCAUUGUAAGCCUUUGGAACUGAUUAGCUUGAGUGCAGGAGAGGUAAGUGGAAUUCCUAGUGUAGAGGUGAAAUUCGUAGAUAUUAGGAGGAACACCAGUGGCGAAGGCGACUUACUGGACUGUAACUGACACUGAGGCACGAAAGCGUGGGUAGCGAACAGGAUUAGAUACCCUGGUAGUCCACGCC